UACGUAGGUGGCAAGCGUUACCCGGAAUUAUUUGGCGUAAAGAGCGCGCAGGUGGUUGAUUAAGUCUGAUGUGAAAGCCUACGGCUUAACCGUGGAGGGUCAUUGGAAACUGGUCGACUUGAGUGCAGAAGAGGGAAGUGGAAUUCCAUGUGUAGCGGUGAAAUGCGUAGAGAUAUGGAGGAACACCAGUGGCGAAGGCGGCUUCCUGGUCUGUAACUGACACUGAGGCGCGAAAGCGUGGGGAGCAAACAGGAUUAGAUACCCU
rnacentral:rRNA from 1 species